GGCGCUAUAGUGUAGUGGUUAUCACUCGGGAUUUUGAUUUCAUCAAAAGUUCCCGAAACCCAGGUUCGAACCCUGGUAGUGCCU